CUGUUAACAAUUGCUAUGUUUAACUUGGCUUCGGCUUCUUCUAAAGACAAUGAAAUGGAAGAUAUUCAUAAGAGAUUGUGCAGAAAGAAAGUCGUUUCCAGAAUUCAACAUUGAAAAGGAGGAAGCUCUGAAAAGAAAAUAUUUGCUACAUCUAUUGUAUCAUCAAGUUUCCUUUCCUUUUUUUUUCAAAAGCCGUCCUUUCAUUUUAGGUUUAAAAGCAUGGGGUGUAUGUGUCUGACAGACCGAUGAAAAAGGGGGCAGCUGGCUUUGAGUUUUUGGGUGAGUCUUAAGACCAUCUAUGGGUAAAUCGAGAUCAGAAAGUAUUUCAAGACAAGUAAUCCAUACUCCAUUCCUUAGGUCUAGCAACCACUUUUCUCAUUAUCUCCUCUGAACUUGCAGAUCAAUACAACAGACCCCAGAAUUGUAUCUUGCUGAUUUAUUAAAUUUCUAACAGACUGUGAGACUAAAAAGAGAUUUUGAAUACAUUCACCUUGUAGUAUCAAGCACAGUCAUUCUUUCUUUUGGCUAAUUAGACUUUUAAACUCCAACUAUUUUUUAAAAGUACAACAGUUUGAAUAAGGCUUCCUAAAAAUGCGCAGCAAAAUAAAUCUGAAUGUGACCUUUUAGAACUGACUUAAGGUGACAUUUAUUGGAAUUAGUUUCCUUUGUAACUAGAACUCAGAAAAAGAUCAAGUGACAAUCUCCCGGCAUUCAGUUUGGGUGAUAAUCUAUAGGGUCAAACUGAGGGAAGAUGUACUUGUGGUUUGCUGGAGAAGGCUCAAAUGUUACAUACAAGUGUUAAAAAUAUGGUGUGGGAAAGGUGUUACUCUUCUACACUAGUGCUUUUUUGCUUUUGUAACCUUUUUCACUUAUUUGGAAAUAAGUGGGCUGCAAAUCUAAAUAGCAGCAGCAGCAGCAAGCAACAUCAAUAUAUAAAAAUAAAUACUCUUCUGCAAUUGAAAUAAAAAGUAGGGAGGACAAUGAGAUUGUUUUCACUGUACACAUUUUCCUAAAUAUCUCUAAUGACUGUGAUUCAGCAUCUUUCCAUUGUCCUUUCAGCUCACAAAGAAAAGAAAAAAAAACCAAGUGCCUUAAUCACAAUCCUAAAUCCAGAAGAGUGAUCCUAUGCAUUCUUACUCUGAAGUAAGUCAUUUGAAAGUGAGCAUGGGACUGUAGGCAUACUUUUAAAGUAUACUUUUCCAUCUAUAAGAUGCCCCCAUGUAUACAACACCCCCUAUUUU